AACCUAGCACACCUGCGGUGUGUACCUGCGGAAGGAUCAUUACUGAGUGUAAAAACUCCCAAACCCACUGUGAACAUACCACUGUUGCUUCGGCGGAUGCGCCCCGGGCGCGCCCUACAAAGGCGUGCCCCGGAUCAAGGCCACCGCCGGGGGACCGAAACUCUUGUUUUCCUAAGGAUUCUCUGAGUGUGAUUAUUAAAUCAAAUCAAAACUUUCAGCAAUGGAUCUCAGAUCGGAAGA
rnacentral:misc_RNA from 1 species